CGGGCAGUAGCUCGGUGGCAGAGCUCUCGCUUCGUAUGCUGGAAGACCUGGGUUUGAUUCCCGGCUGUUUAC
rnacentral:tRNA from 1 species